UUUUUCCCAGGUUUCAUUUCCUUCCGACAUCCUUAAGAAACCUCCCUCCUUCCUGAAAGCUGCUGCAGCCCCAACCCAGUCUCCAGUAAAAACAUGAGAGCCUUUGAAAUGGAGACCCAGGGUGACUUAGCUAAAAUUAAACUGCUCUCCGCUAGUUGGAUGACACGGGCUGACACUGCCUGACCCGGAUUCCCUGGCCGGUGUCGGUGUCUGUGGGAUUUUGUUUGUGUGGCUGGAGUGGAAACGCCCAGAGAAGGGACCACCCUGCACCCUGGCUGGAGCUGGGUUCUCUACAGAUGUCAAAAACAGCUGCUCAACUACAAAACACAGCAGAAGCUUCCAACUCCUCUUGCACAUUCAUAGAUGUGCUUUUGAGAAAUUACCAGUCUGGUCCUUCACCGUUUGUCCCCGUCAAGUUGUCCAAGUUCCUUAUACAUCUGAGACUUAAACCCUUGUCAGAAAAAUGAUUGCAGAUACUACUUCUUCUUCUUUUUUUUAAAUACCGGGGAUCAAACCCAGGUCCUUGCACUUGCAAGGCAGGCAGCAGAACCCCUGAGCUAAAUCCUUGGCCUGGUUGCAGACACUUCUGUCAGUCUGUAGGUGGUUUCUUCACUCAGCUGCUUCCUGCCGUGGCUUUACUGAAGCUACUUAAUUUGGUGGCAUCCCACUUAUCUAUUUUCACUUCUGUUGCCCGUGCUUUUAAAGUCAUAUCCAAAAAAUUAUUUGUCCCGGUCAACAUCUCAAAGUAUUUCCCCAAGAUUUUCUUCUAGUAGUGUCAUAGUUUUUUUAUCUUGGAUUUAAUUCUGUGAUUCAUUUUCAGGUGGUUUUUUUGUUUGUUUGUUUGUUUGUUUGUUUUUGUACAUGGUGAGAGAUGGAGGUCUAAUUCCUUUCUGCUGCCAAUGGAUUUUCAAAUUUUGCAAGCACCCUUUACUGGAGACCCCUGUCUGUGUUCUAACUAAUGUUGAAAAUCAAUUGACUGUCAAUACACGCAUGGAUUAAUUACUAGGUUUUGUAUUCUGUUCCACUGGUCUGUGUGUCCGUUUUUAGGCCACUGCCGUGUUGUAUCUGUCAUUACGAUAAUGCGGGCAGCUUUAUUCCUUUUGCCUAGGUUCACUUUGGUUAUUCGGAGUCUUUUGUACAUACAAACCCUAGGAGCAUUUUCUUCUAUUUUUGUGAAGAAUGCAACUGGUAUUUUGGUAGAAACUGCAUCAAAUCCAUAGAUGUUUUGGCACCAGGACAGAUGGAUAUUGCUGCUCAGUGACAUGGAAGGGGGGAAGGGGCCACUGCGUGGACCUUGAGCCCAGGGCACUUGGGCAGGCGGGGAUGGGUCCAGUGGGAAGGUAGCAAUGCACCAGGACAGUGGGGGAAAAGGAGCGGAGAUGUAGCCAGUGCUCACAGGGGUGGAGGGAAUCUCGGAUUAAAUGGAAGAGGAGAGUUAAGGCUGCUCACUGGGAGAGGAAGGAGCCCAGCAGAGAGGAAGGAGGCAGUGCACAGGGGCCCAAGAAGGGAUGCGAGAAGGAAGGCAGGUCCUGUUCAAUGCCACCAAGAGGCCGUGCAAACCAGAUGUGAACUGAAAGAGGCCGGGAACUGAGGGUCACCGAUGACCGUGGCCAGAGCAGCCUCAGGGGUGCGAAGGUCUCCAGGCUGCUUCAACAGGAAUAGGAUUUGAUGGGAGGGAGGGAGGGAGGGAGAAAGGGGUGACCCGGAACAGGAAGGGGAUUCUGGGAUCCACCAAAGCCACCACCAGCACAAGCUCCGUGGACUUAGCACACACACAGAGGUCUCUCAUUCCCAGGUGGAUGCACCCAGAUCCCGGGGGAUGCCAGCUGUGGCAGCCAAAAGCCACGCACAAAGAGGCCGGGGCUGCAGCACUCACCUUGAUGGGACCCACUCUGCUCACCUCCUCCUGUGCUCUGUGUUUUGGGCAGCAGGUUUAUGCCCCCUGGGCACUCGCCCGGCCCUGGGGAGGUGACAAACAAGAGUUCCAGGUGCAGAGUGUGCCCUGAGCUACCAAUGGCAGCUGGCACAGGUCACCUGCCCAGCAACCAGCUCCCCACCCACCGCUCCAGGAAAUGCAGGGCAUCUGGGCCAGCUGCACUCCAGGAAGAGGCCAGGCACUGGGCCCAGAAUUGCACAAAAUGGACUUGGGGCUGAUCGCCCAACCUGGACAGGCGCCCUCGCCUUCCUAGGAAGGGCAUGAGAUCUGGAACUGAGGCCAUGGCCGACAUCAGAGCUAGAGGUUGGCAGAGCAGACAGAUCUCUGAGCCUGGUACCCAUGGGUGCUGAGGAAGGGGCUCUGCAUCCUCAGUGCCGUGGGCUCCAGUACACCUGGGUCCAGCCCCACUCAAUGUAGACUGAGAGGACUCAGGGAGC